rnacentral:misc_RNA from 1 species
UCUCCGUAGGUGAACCUGCGGAAGGAUCAUUAAUGAGUUGUCAUGGGGUUCGAUGCUGCAGCCAGUUUUUGGAUGCAUGUGCUUGCCCUAACAAUCAUCUUCUUCCAAACACCUGUGCACAUUUUUGAGGGAGUCUUGAGUUGGUUGCCGCUCUUGGGUGAUUUUCUCACAUUCCCUUAAAUCAUUAUACGCUAUUAACAAUGUUGAACGUGCUCUGUGCCGCAAGGCCAUUAAUAUAAUACAACUUUCAACAACGGAUCUCUUGGUUCUG